rnacentral:rRNA from 1 species
AUUGAACGCUGGCGGCAGGCCUAACACAUGCAAGUCGAACGAGUGGCGGACGGGUGAGUAAUGUCUGGGCAACUGCCUGAUGUAGGGGUCUAACUACUGGAAACGGUAGCUAAUACCGCAUACCAUCGGAUGUGCCCAGAUGGGAUUAGCUAGUAGGUGGGGUACCUGCUCUCCUAGGCGACGAUCCCUAGCUGGUCUGAGAGUAUGACCAGCCACACUGUAACUGAGACACGGUCCAGACUCCUACGGGAGGCAGCAGUGGUGAAUAUGGCACAAUUGGCGCAAGCCUGAUGCAGCCAUGCCGCGUGUAGGAAGAAGGCCUUCGGGUUGUAAAGUACUUUCAGCGGGGAGGCGUUACCCGCAGAAGAAGCAGCGGAUAAAGAAGAGCCAGCAGCCGCGGUAAUAC